GACGAACGCUGGCGGCGUGCCUAAUACAUGCAAGUCGAACGAGAGCGACCGGUGCUUGCACUGGUCAAUCUAGUGGCGAACGGGUGAGUAACACGUGGGUAACCUGCCCAUCAGAGGGGGAUAACAUCCGGAAACGGAUGCUAAAACCGCAUAGGUCUUCGAGCCGCAUGGCUUGAAGAGGAAAAGAGGCGCAAGCUUCUGCUGAUGAAUGGACCCGCGGUGCAUUAGCUAGUUGGUGAGGUAACGGCUCACCAAGGCCGUGAUGCAUAGCCGACCUGAGAGGGUGAUCGGCCACAUUGGGACUGAGACACGGCCCAAACUCCUACGGGAGGCAGCAGUAGGGAAUCUUCCGCAAUGGACGCAAGUCUGACGGAGCAACGCCGCGUGAGUGAAGAAAGUUUUCGGAUCGUAAAACUCUGUUGUUAGAGAAGAACAAGUGCUAGAGUAACUGUUAGCGCCUUGACGGUAUCUAACCAGAAAGCC
rnacentral:rRNA from 1 species